GUAAUCACUUGUCUUCUAAAUAAAGACUAGUAUGAACGGCUAAAUGAGGAUAAGCCUGUCUCCUACAACUUAUCAGUGAAACUGAUCUUUCAGUCCAAAAGCUGAAAUACAAACACAAGACGAGAAGACCCUGUGGAGCUUUAGAUUAAGUACUAAUAAGCCAUAGGCACCUAGUAUGCAAUCUUAAGUUGGGGCGACUUCGGAAAGAAACAAAACUUCCGAGCAUAGAAGCACAACUUCUAACAAAGGCAGACAUGCCGAAGAAAAUGUCCGACCCAGUCACACUGAUCAACGAACCAAGUUACCCCAGGGAUAACAGCGCUAUCUUCUUCAAGAGUCCAUAUCGACAAGAAGGUUUACGACCUCGAUGUUGGAUCAGGACACCCAAAUGGUGCAGCCGCUAUUAAAGGUUCGUUUGUUCAACGAUUAACAGU
rnacentral:rRNA from 1 species